rnacentral:rRNA from 1 species
UGGGGAAUAUUGGGCAAUGGGCGAAAGCCUGACCCAGCCACGCCGCGUGAGUGAUGAAGGCCUUCGGGUCGUAAAGCUCUGUGGGGAGGGACGAACAAGCCUGGAGCUAACACCCCGGGUUCUGACGGUACCUCCUUAGCAAGCACCGGCUAACCCUGUGCCAGCAGCCGCGGUAAUACAGGGGGUGCAAACGUUGCUCGGAAUUAUUGGGCGUAAAGCGCGCGUAGGCGGCUACUUAUGUCGGAUGUGAAAGCCCUUGGCUCAACUGAGGAAGUGCACCCGAAACUGAGUAGCUGGAGUACGAAAGAGGGUCGCGGAAUUCCCGGUGUAGAGGUGAAAUUCGUAGAUAUCGGGAGGAACACCGGUGGCGAAGGCGGCGACCUGGGUCGAUACUGACGCUGAGGCGCGAAAGCGUGGGGAGCAAACAG